rnacentral:pre_miRNA from 1 species
AAACUACUCCCUCCGUUCGGAAUUACUUGUCGCAGAAAUGGAUGUAUCUAGACGUAUUUUAGUUCUAGAUACAUCCAUUUCUGAGACAAGUAAUUCCGAACGAAGGGAGUAGGUU